rnacentral:rRNA from 1 species
CCAAUAGCGUAUAUUAAAGUUGUUGCAGUUAAAAAGCUCGUAGUUGAAUUUCGGGAUCAAUGGAUCGGUCAUGCCGUUGGUAUGUACUGGUUUUAUUGAUUCUCACCUUCUAAAGAACCAUGAUGGCAUUAAUUUGUUGUUGUGGGGAAUUAGGACUGUUACCUUGAAAAAAUUAGAGUGUUUAAAGCAGGCUUACGCUUGAAUACAUUAGCAUGGAAUAACGAAAUAGGACAUCGCAUUCUAUUUUGUUGGUUUCUAGGAUCGAUGUAAUGAUUAAUAGGGAUAGUUGGGGGAAUUAGUAUUCAAUUGUCAGAGGUGAAAUUCUUGGAUUUAUUGAAGACUAACUACUGCGAAAGCAUUUGCCAAGGAUGUUUUCAUUAAUCAAGAACGAAAGUUAGGGGAUCGAAGACGAUCAGAUACCGUCGUAGUCUUAACCAUAAACUAUGCCGACUAGGGAUCGGAUGAUGUUAAUUUUUUAAUGACUCAUUCGGCACCUUACG